rnacentral:misc_RNA from 1 species
UUUCCGUAGGUGAACCUGCGGAAGGAUCAUUACUGAGUGAGGGCCCUCUGGGUCCAACCUCCAACCCGUGUUUAUUAUACCUUGUUGCUUCGGUGUGCCCGCCUCACGGCCGCCGGGCGGCAUUUGUCCCCGGGCCCGCGCCCACCGAUGACACCUAGAACUCUGUAUGAAGAUUACAGUCUGCGCAAAAACUAAAUAAGUUAAAACUUUCAACAACGGAUCUCUUGGUUCCG